rnacentral:rRNA from 1 species
UACGGGGGGGGCAAGCGUUGUUCGGAAUUACUGGGCGUAAAGGGCGCGUAGGCGGCUCUUCAAGUCGGGCGUGAAAUCUCCAGGCUUAACCUGGAAGGGUCGUUCGAUACUGUCGAGCUAGAGUGUGGAAGAGGCUACUGGAAUUCCGUGUGUAGCGGUGAAAUGCGUAGAUAUACGGAGGAACACCAGAGGCGAAGGCGGGUAGCUGGGCCAACACUGACGAUGAGGCGCGAACGCCAGGGGAGCAAACGGG